GCGCGGAGCCGGCGGAGCUGAGCGCGGUCAGGGGCUGAACCCCGCUUUCCCGGACGGACUACCACUCGGCUUGCCCGAGUCCCGGGACAUAACCGGGCCGGUCAGUGAGCCACCCGACCGCUCCGACCGCGGCGCUUCUGGCCCGCGAGGCGUGAGAGUGUCUCGGCUACCGACCCAGAGGUGGUGGCUUCUACUACCCCAGGGCAGCUGGAGGAAGAACAGAGUCCCCGCCCGGGCCGAGUGAUGGCAGCGAGGAGAGGCAGAGACUGCCAGGGGCAGGCGACGCCCUGCCCCUCCGCGUUCCUGGGAGGCCUGACAGACACUCGGAGCUCCAGCUGGAUAGAGUGGGGGAGCC
rnacentral:lncRNA from 1 species